UUUUCAAAAGUAAACUUAAACGUGAACUUAAAAUUUUUUCUAAACAGAAUAGAGCAUUAUCAAUAUUGGGCCAAAAGUCAAGGAAGAAAUAAUUCCAUAUUAUCUUCUUCUUUCACCAUAUAGUCUUAUCAGAAAUCUUAACAAUGCAAAUAUAAUGAUUUAAUUUAAUGAUAAAUUUUCCAAGAAUAUACAAGAAGUAUAAAAUAUUAUUCACGAUAAGCGUAAAAUGUGAUAAGUACAAUUUUCCUCAUCUAGUUUAUAUGAAACUUGCAUUCAAGUAAUUAACAACCUAAUGACAGCAACCUUGAAUGUCAGUUAAAGGUAUUUGGAGGCCACGAUCAAUAUGUUGGCUUAACAAAACAAAGUUAAUCGUAUAAGUUAUAAAUUAUUUUAUUUAAUUGUAUGUAAUAUAUUGUGAAACAGAAAUUGUACAUAAAUUGUUUAGAAAGUUAUACAUAUUUAUUAUACUUAAUGUAUCCUUUUAUUACAGUAAAAAAAUUCUCAUAUAUUUUUUUUAUAUGUUUCAUAUAUCUACGAACUACUGUAUGUACAUUUGAUUUGGAUCAAUAUAAAGAUUGCGUUAUCAUCAAGUUUA